CACCAGACUCCUACGGGAGGCAGCAGUGGGGAAUAUUGCACAAUGGGGGAAACCCUGAUGCAGCGACGCCGCGUGAGUGAAGAAGUAUUUCGGUAUGUAAAGCUCUAUCAGCAGGGAAGAAAAUGACGGUACCUGAUUAAGAAGCCCCGGCUAACUACGUGCCAGCAGCCGCGGUAAUACGUAGGGGGCAAGCGUUAUCCGGAUUUACUGGGUGUAAAGGGAGCGUAGACGGUGAUGCAAGUCAGAAGUGAAAGCCCGGGGCUCAACUCCGGGACUGCUUUUGAAACUGUGUAACUGGAGUGCAGGAGAGGUAAGCGGAAUUCCUGGUGUAGCGGUGAAAUGCGUAGAUAUCAGGAGGAACACCGGCGGCGAAGGCGGCCUGCUGGACUGAAACUGACGUUGAGGCUCGAAAGCGUGGGGAGCAAACAGGAUUAGAUACCCCCGUA
rnacentral:rRNA from 1 species